GAAGUAUACCGAUACAAGUGCCACGUCAUCUUUUGAACAAUUCCAGUCUUGACGAAUUCUAGGCAGUUCUUCUUGUCAAAUCGAGCCAAAAGUUUCAGGAGUGUAACUGACUUGAUCUUUGAGGUACUAAUCUCCAUUUGCUCUUUACUAGUGAAUCUGUUGAUGAUUGUUUCAACCAGCUGUUGACAAUUCAUAAUUGCAGCUGCACAUGUUGGCGAAUGCCUAGCUAUCGCAAUUAAUAUGGAAAUCAGGCAUUCUUCCAAAGCUGUUGAAGGCUCAGUCUCCAAGAGAUACUGAAUCCUUUGAAGAAUCCCCAUCCUAAUCAAUCCUGCAGCUAUAUCUUGGCCAGCAACAACAACAUCAUCCUGAAU
rnacentral:misc_RNA from 1 species